GCAAAAUCCAGAUAACACAGAUCUGUGUAAAAAAAUUACACAGAUUGUUGUUCAGUUCCAGCUUUCACAAUCUGGGUAAUUUUCUUACACAGUUCUGUGUAAAAAAAUACACAGAUUUUUGAAGAGCCGUUCUUCCAAAUCUGUGUAAAAAACAGAUGUCAGUUUUAGCAGGCGGCAUUGGAGGUAUUUGCAAACUUUGUGAGUUUAAUUUCUUUAAAUACUUAUUUGCUUUAUUCAUCAUUAGUAUACUUUUUCAGACUUUGGCCAACUUACAAACUUCUCCAGUACCCGAUGACACGAUUGUUUGUGGAACCUGUGGUCCGGCAAGGUUCUCUUGGAACGAUAUUCUCCAUUGGUACAGGUUCCGGAAGCCGGCUUGGUGUGGCACUUUACGACGUCAUGUUGUUUGCCGUCGACAUCGGGAGAACCCCAAAAUUACGAUGAUUGCUAGGUGGAAGAACCGGCAGUGCAAAAACCACAUAAAAAUAUCAAAUAUGGCCAACAAUUACUUUAAGCAUAUUUAUUAGAUUAAUAAACGUAAAUUAAUCUUGUUUUCUUUCCAAAAUCGA